UCCUUCUCCUUUCCUUCCUAUAUGCUUCUUCUGGCAUUCUCACAUGCUUGUCUCUGCAUCAGAAAAAAAUCCUGCAAGAAACAAGCAACUGUAUUAACAGAUGGACAGAGUCAAUAAAACACACACAAAUCGUGUCUCUGACACAUCUGUUCCCCAGCAUUAGAGUAAUUUCCUCGCUGAAGAGACCUGGGACAGCAGUGAUGGAAUGGAGGGGGGACUCUGGGUUCGCCCCUGAGACCUCUCAUCUUUCAGUGGGAAGAGAGCUCCCUUGUCUCAGUGUUUGACACGCGUCUUCCUGUGUGGCUGCCAGGACCGCUGGGGACAGGAGAGGAACAAAGCUGUCCAGAGGACUGCCCGAUUCAAUUACACACCUAGGCCACAAAGAAAACUCAGACCGUCUGCACUCACAGGCACAGUGGCCUGCACCCAACACUUUGAAUGAAGAUAUUUUUCUUGGACAUUGUUUUGCAGUUAUUCAGAUUUUUAUGGACAAUUUUUUGGUUGCAUUCUAAUAAAAUAAAAUGAUAUUG